CAAACUCACGAAGAACUCAUGAAGAACUCAGAUCUGAUCUCAUCUUGCUUCAAUCACGCUCGUCAACAGCAAAAUCGUGAAGCCAAGACGACAAUCAUGAAGAAAUCGAGUCCCCCUUUCACCCGACGUCUUCAUCCAUUGUAGUCUCAGGUUCGAACGUCCAAAUCGUGAAGACCCCAUUCGUUCAUAACCCGAUCGAGACCCGAUUUGUCUACCACAAACUACAGCAAACACGAGCAAGUGUUGUGGUCCCCGUUUCCUUGUGUUGUCGGCAGCAUUGAGCAAAAGCAACAACUUUACGUGGUGGUCCCGAACUCAACGAAGAACCGCCAAAGAUGGUAGAAUCACAAGAGAAAAGUGCGGCUGUAAUUUUGAAAGCAUAAAAACGAGUUCAACUAGAAUUGAUAGUGAGGUGUCAUCACAACAAGAGACUUGCGAAUUCAUGAAGAGAUCCACAAAUUCGUCACAAUCGAGGACUUCAAUUCCUUCUAUUGACAAAGAUAAUUCUGUGUUUUGCUAUUGUGGUUUGAAAUCUCCUUUGCGGAUAGCUUGUACACAAGAGAAUCAAGGAAGGAGAUUUUAUGGCUGCCCGAGAUACAGAAGUAGGGGAAGUUGCGGAUUUUUUAUUUGGGUUGAUGCGAAAAUCCAUCAACCAACAAGAAGUAUGUCAAAAAAUUUUCACCGAAGCAAUGUCGAAGAAGAAACAAUUCCAACCCAUGAUGAGGAUGAUGGUAGUUCAAUGGAUGUUGAAGUUAGAGCUCUCAAGGCACAAUUGAAACGUGUGGAACAAGACAUGGCAAAGCUGAAAAAAGAAAAUUUGAGAUGGAAGACAAUAUCGGUUGUGUCGUGGAUGCUUAUAGUAAUUUUAGCUCACAUGUUAUUUGAAAAUUCGAAGAUGAAAAACAUGAUGAGUUUGCCAUAGAGUAUGUUUACAGACAUUA